rnacentral:rRNA from 1 species
UACGUAGGGUGCAAGCGUUAAUCGGAAUUACUGGGCGUAAAGCGUGCGCAGGCGGUCUUGCAAGACAGAUGUGAAAUCCCCGGGCUCAACCUGGGAACUGGCAUUUGUGACGUGCAAGGCUGGAAUCUGGCAGAGGGGGGUAGAAUUCCACGUGUAGCAGUGAAAUGCGUAGAGAUGUGGAGGAACACCGAUGGCGAAGGCAGCCCCCUGGGCUAAGAUUGACGCUCAUGCACGAAAGCGUGGGGAGCAAACAGG